rnacentral:rRNA from 1 species
UAGGGAAUACUUGCGCAAUGGGCGAAAGCCUGACGCAGCGACGCCGCGUGAGGGAUGAAGGCCUUUGGGUCGUAAACCUCUGUCGGAGGGGAAGAAAUUUUGACGGUACCCUCCAAGGAAAGCCCCGGCUAACUACGUG